rnacentral:rRNA from 1 species
CCCUUAGAUGUUCUGGGCCGCACACGCGCUACACUGAAGGAGGCAGCGUGUACUCCUGGAUCGAAAGAUUUGGGUAACCCGCGAAUCUCCUUCGUGCUAGGGAUUGAGGUUUGCAAUUAUCCUUCAUGAACGAGGAAUUCCCAGUAAGUGCAAGUCAUAAGCUUGCGCUGACUACGUCCCUGCCCUUUGUACACACCGCCCGUCGCUACUACCGAUGGAAUGAUUUAGUGAGGACUUCGGACUGGGACCGAUGCGGCUUUCGGGCUGCGUCGGUAUUCUGGAAAGAUGUCCAAACUGUAUCAUUUAGAGGAAGUAAAANUCGUAACA